UGGUGUGUAGCCUCACCUAUUGGUUUGUUUCUGUUAAAUCUGUGAACCAAUCGGAGCGUGUUAUGAUUUUGUGGUUGCUCAUUGGUUGGUGCUACCCAAAUCUUCAAACCAAUAGGAGCAGGUUUUGUAGGAUAUAAGAAUCCUAGUUGUGUAGCACCUGAAAAACGUCAUCAUUGACGUCAUGCCCUGUAUGGAAGCGCUCUUUGUGAAUGAGCGGAGGGCGGCUGCGCGUCAUUCAUUAUCACCCUUGGCGUUGCGUGUUGUGAAUGAGAGGAUCGGCUUUUAGCUGGUUCCCAGAUGGCUGUGUGUUGCAGUAUUCGCAGCAGCUACAGUGUGCUGCACAUGAUGCGAUCUGGUAAUACACCUCGGAUGAUUGACCGGGCGUGACGUUUCAUUAACCCCUCGAUAAAUAUAAGUUUCGGACUACAUUGCUGCUUUGCCUGGAGUUUGUUUCUUUCGUGUGUGUGUGGGGAUUCGUCUAGUGGCACAUCCUCACCCUUUAUUGGACUGCAUCCCUUCAGGGGCUCGGGCUGGGAGGCGUAUAAUCUGGAUUCAGCCCUGCCUACAACGUUUAUUGGCAUGCAGGAGUGGUUGUCGGUGUGACGUAUCGACCAGUGUUAUUUUUUUUGUUUAAUGUUUUGAUUUGUUUAAUUUAGUGUUGUAUUUAUUCACUUCUAUAAAGUGGGAGCUUGCGCCGGAAUGUGUGUAGUUUACACUAUUUGCUGUGAGAAUUUUUGUGGUGUUUUCACGAGUGUAUUUUUAUAUAGUGUGGGGUGACCUCUUGACUUCCUGAAGGCGAGCUCCCCUUAUUGAUGUGAUUUUUGUAUUUUUUUUUGUUUACUGUCAUACAUGUUUUCUAUUUAUUAUAAUAAACAAAUUAUAUUUUUCAUAAUUCAUUGUUUGUAUCUUUCUCACCCCACCCACGACUAUUGGACCUGUGUGUCUUAGUUAAAGAUUUCCCGGGUUUCCCCGGGUGGCGUAGUCGGAACAUUGGUAUCUCAAAAUUUGCAAUUCACCGCUCUGCUACAUUCUGGCGUAGUCGGCAGGGUUGUCAUGGGUUGGGGUGAGUUGGAUAAUACUUUUCUUUGUAUGUUGAAAAUGUUUAGUAUGUAUAGAAGUAGUGUUUUUUCUCCUAAAGGCAAAGCAGCAGUGUGUGUCCAGUUGGAUAAAUCCCAGCGAUGGGCUCCCUCUUACUACGUCAGGUGGUGAGUUGUUAUAGAAAUGGUGAAGGGAGUUAAUUGUGUGUGUGUGUUUGUUUCAGCUGGGGUCCCGUAGUGUUUGGAACCAGCUGAGUACGGUAGAGUCCAGGAGCAGUUCCUGAGGCUGAGGUAAAACGUUAGGGAUUAUUUUAAGGUGGUGUUAGUGCUUGAGUGAUGACGAUAGGUUGAAGCUAGGGCAUUGCUGAAGCAGCAUUUGCUUGGGGUUUCAGUUUAUGUGAGGGUAAGAACAUACUAGCUAUACUGUUAUUUUCGGCCAGUGGGGUCCCGCAGAGUGUGCGGUGGAACCAUUUGGUUGAUCUUAGAGCAGUAUUUGGCCUACCUGUGAUAUUAACGUCAGGGUAGGAAUAUAUUAGUUGUACUUCCCGUGUCAUCUUUGGCCGAUGGGGUCCUGCAGAGUGUGCGGUGGAACCAUUUGGUUGAUUUUAGCAGUAUUUAGCCCACCUGUGAUUUUAACAAUGGACAUGGUGUGAGUCAUACUCCCCGUGUCACGUUUUGGCGGAUGGGGUCCCACAGAAUGUGUGUGGUGGAACUGUUUGACCGAUUUUAAAGCUGUAUGUACUUGUGAUUUUUCGUAUAGGAUGUGGUGUGAGUCAAACUCCCCGCAUCAAACUGUGGCUGAUGGGGUCCCGCGGAGUGUGUGUGGCGGAGCCAUCUAGCAGAUUUUAAAGUUUACCUGUGAUCGUAAUAUGACGUGGCGCGAGCCAUACUCCCCUGCGUCGUAUCAGCCGAUGGGGUCCCACAGUGUGUGUGGUGGAACCAGUCAGUAUAUUUUAAAAGUGUAGAUGUUCUGCAAAUAAGUCGCUGUCAUGGUAAUGAGUGCUGCAGGUCGGCGCCCUACCUUAUAUUACCUUUUGGGUAAGUACGGGUUUUGACAAACCUGGCCCUUAAGGUGAUCAGUGUGUUGUGAACAUUUAUUGCGGAUGUAUGGGCGAGGUUAUGAGUCUAGCUUUUCCUGAUGUCCUGUGUAAUAUCUGAGCUCUGAUGAGGUAAUCGUCGGGGCGACGAUUCAUAAGCUGGGGGUGAAUGUGGUGGUGUGUAGCCUCACCUAUUGGUUUGUUUCUGUUAAAUCUGUGAACCAAUCGGAGCGUGUUAUGAUUUUGUGGUUGCUCAUUGGUUGGUGCUACCCAAAUCUUCAAACCAAUAGGAGCAGGUUUUGUAGGAUAUAAGAAUCCUAGUUGUGUAGCACCUGAAAAACGUCAUCAUUGACGUCAUGCCCUGUAUGGAAGCGCUCUUUGUGAAUGAGCGGAGGGCGGCUGCGCGUCAUUCAUUAUCACCCUUGGCGUUGCGUGUUGUGAAUGAGAGGAUCGGCUUUUAGCUGGUUCCCAGAUGGCUGUGUGUUGCAGUAUUCGCAGCAGCUACAGAUAAAUGUAAGUUCAGUUUCGGACUACAUUGCUGCUUUGCCUGGAGUUUGUUUCUUUCGUGUGUGUGUGGGGAUCCAUCUAGUGGCACAUCCUCACCCUUUAUUGGACUGCAUCCAUUCAGGGGCUCGGGCUGGGAGGCGUAUAAUCUGGAUUGAGCCCUGCCUACAACGUUUAUUGGCAUGCAGGAGUGGUUGUCGGUGUGACGUAUCGACCAGUGUUAUUUUUUUUGUUUAAUGUUUUGAUUUGUUUAAUUUAGUGUUGUAUUUAUUCACUUCUAUAAAGUGGGAGCUUGCGCCGGAAUGUGUGUAGUUUACACUAUUUGCUGUGAGAAUUUUUGUGGUGUUUUCACGAGUGUAUUUUUAUAUAGUGUGGGGUGACCUCUUGACUUCCUGAAGGCGAGCUCCCCUUAUUGAUGUGAUUUUUGUAUUUCUUUGUUUACUGUCAUACAUGUCUUCUAUUUAUUAUAAUAAACAAAUUAUAUUUUUCAUAAUUCAUUGUUUGUAUCUUUCUCACCCCACCCACGACUAUUGGACCUGUGUGUCUUAGUUAAGAUUUCCCGGGUUUCCCGGGUGGCGUAGUCGGAACCUUGGUAUCUCAAAAUUGGUAAUCCACCGC